CCCUUUAAUCUUAGCCCAACAGUCCUCUCUUAAGUUUGAAGGUGGGGCUUGCUCAAACUUCUUCUUUUCCUGCGUGAUCAACUGCUUGACUUCGGCAAUUUCCUUGUCGGCCUAAUCGGCCCUCCUAAUCAGUCUCUUGAUCUUUUUUUUUUUUUGCAUUUCCUCCAUUUGGGCUAACUCUACUAUCCCUCUUUCAGUUGUGUGGUACUUAAAUCCAUGACAAAUCUUCCUAAAAGAAUAUGAAUACAUUUAAAAAGAAAGUUAACGAAAAUGAUUGAGGACUUUCUGAGAGACUUGGGGACCUGGAGCAUUUUGGGCGAACUUUAGAUAAUAAGCACAUAUUUUUUCCUAAAGGGUUUCUAAUACUUUGUUAAAGAGUAGAUCAAUUUACCUUUGAUUUAACAAUGCAUAUAAUCACAUAAACAGUUAUAUCACACAAGACAGUUAUAUCAGACAACAAUAGAAUAAUAAACAGUUUGUCCUAAUUGGGUGAUCCUUUUGAGCCAAGGGUUGGCCUAGCAAAUUUGAAGGAAAUAUAUGCUUUUUAAACCAAUCAAUUAACCCCCCAAAUCUCCAUAGAUAUAUAGAAAGCCAUGAGUGUUUGCAAAAUAUGCAUAAAAGGAUACAAUUUUUACGGAAAGGGGAAAUGACAUAAAAAAGGAACAAAGUCCCGCGCAAGGGAUGGAAAAUUAACUCCAAGAUGAUCUUUCGUCGUCCUCGCCUUCUUAGAUUUAUCCACAUCUUCCCAUAUGUGAUAUCUUUUGAUGGUCAGGCGGCUCCCACAUAAUUGUACUUUGUUCUUGUAGGUCAUCUUCCCUAUGCUAUCAAUUUGAGAAGCCAUGUGAUCAUCCAAAUCAAGCAAACACUGUCUUGCAUCAUCAACCUCUUGCCUAGUUCGCUUUAACUCUUCUCUCAAUUGGUGUAUAGUUGAGGCAACCUCUAUCUGCAUCUAUUGGAGCAUCAUUUCACCUCUUCAGAAUUUGUCCUGAAGCUUGUGGAACCGGAUCUGAUGUUCUGACUCUACAUCAACAAUCUGUGUGGGUACAUUUGGACCCAGAACCAAUGUUCUGGCAAUAUUCUCUUUCAACUACUCUUUGUAGGUAUCACUAACCUCCGGUUCAUACCCAAUACAAAAGAAAACUUCCUUCAUCUUUCUUCUCCUCCACCCAUCUACCAUGUACUGUUUGAGUGGAGUUUCACCUUUGUGUGGUACUUAAAUCCAUGACAAAUCUUCCUAAAAGAAUAUGAAUACAUUUAAAAAGAAAGUUAACGAAAAUGAUUGAGGACUUUCUGAGAGACUUGGGGACCUGGAGCAUUUUGGGCGAACUUUAGAUAAUAAGCACAUAUUUUUUCCUAAAGGGUUUCUAAUACUUUGUUAAAGAGUAGAUCAAUUUACCUUUGAUUUAACAAUGCAUAUAAUCACAUAAACAGUUAUAUCACACAAGACAGUUAUAUCAGACAACAAUAGAAUAAUAAACAGUUUGUCCUAAUUGGGUGAUCCUUUUGAGCCAAGGGUUGGCCUAGCAAAUUUGAAGGAAAUAUAUGCUUUUUAAACCAAUCAAUUAACCCCCCAAAUCUCCAUAGAUAUAUAGAAAGCCAUGAGUGUUUGCAAAAUAUGCAUAAAAGGAUACAAUUUUUACGGAAAGGGGAAAUGACAUAAAAAAGGAACAAAGUCCCGCGCAAGGGAUGGAAAAUUAACUCCAAGAUGAUCUUUCGUCGUCCUCGCCUUCUUAGAUUUAUCCACAUCUUCCCAUAUGUGAUAUCUUUUGAUGGUCAGGCGGCUCCCACAUAAUUGUACUUUGUUCUUGUAGGUCAUCUUCCCUAUGCUAUCAAUUUGAGAAGCCAUGUGAUCAUCCAAAUCAAGCAAACACUGUCUUGCAUCAUCAACCUCUUGCCUAGUUCGCUUUAACUCUUCUCUCAAUUGGUGUAUAGUUGAGGCAACCUCUAUCUGCAUCUAUUGGAGCAUCAUUUCACCUCUUCAGAAUUUGUCCUGAAGCUUGUGGAACCGGAUCUGAUGUUCUGACUCUACAUCAACAAUCUGUGUGGGUACAUUUGGACCCAGAACCAAUGUUCUGGCAAUAUUCUCUUUCAACUACUCUUUGUAGGUAUCACUAACCUCCGGUUCAUACCCAAUACAAAAGAAAACUUCCUUCAUCUUUCUUCUCCUCCACCCAUCUACCAUGUACUGUUUGAGUGGAGUUUCACCUUCUUUAUAUUCGGUGAUAAAUCUAACCAUAGACGUCGUUUGCAGUGUUUCCUGCUUGAUUUCAAACCACCUAAGAACCCCUUAGACCUGGAAGUACUAAAAAAGGCCAUUCAUUUCCUCGAGUGAUGUAUUUUCUCUGGCGAAGAUAUCUGAUAAAACACUGAACAAUGUCCUCUUUCAAUUCUCUAAAACCCUUAAACCAAAAUCCUGGAGAUUGUAUCCUCUUAAACUUGUGCAAGGACAACCAAAUGUCAUGUGAUGAUAAAAGAUCUACCCUUGUCUGAGGGUCCGGCUGCUCUACUCUGGGAUUUUUCAAUAAAUGUUUCAUCAUCCACCAUUGCAAGAUAAGGCUACACCCCUGGAAGAAACGAUGCCUUCCUUGACACUUUCCCAAAGCCUUAUAUAUUUCAACGAUGAUCAUGGGAGCUAAAGUAUAAUACUUUAGUGGUUUUGUAAUUUACUCCAUAGAGAAAAAGGCGUGUGUCACCAUAACGACUCUUGAAUUAAUGGUGCCAUUUUCUCCUUGUGGGAACUCUAUAGUUCCAAGCAAGCCCAAGGCAAAAGCAAAUGCUCUUUUCUCUUUCCAUUUUGACUCUGAUUCGAACUUAUGCCCAAACUUCUCAAAAACGUUAUACUUUUCAAACUAGCGAUAUAACUCAAGAAAAAAUAUGUUAUCUUCAUCAUGUUCACCCAACCAGGUAUCAUCACUGAUUGAAAAGGCAUCCUUGAUCUCCUGACGGUUCCAUACAGUAGGGGCUAGAAUACUUUUGUCGGGUGCACUCUUUCUUUUCCUACACAUAUCAAUGCUCUCAUAAUAGGUCAUUACUUCUUCAAUAGUGGGAGUCAAUUCCAUUUCCCCAAAGCGAAACUCCAUGUUGCUAUCAUCCCAGAAUGUUGAUAGCACAUAGAUCAUUUCAAGCCAAACAUCCAUCUCUAUAAGCGAAGGUAGAUGUUCGAUAUGUGUACUAACAAUCUCUUUGUCUUUUCCAUCUAUAUGAGUUGACCAUGCUUUCAUAAAGUUAUCAGGUCCGGUAACCAUCUUGAAUUUUUUACAGGGGUAUGAUUGAGCCAUUCCUAUACGAAAGAAAACAAAAGUAAGUCUUCCCCUUACCCCAAAGGAUAAUUGAUUGGAUUAAACAGACAUAUAUCUUUUCAACACAUAAGCAUAAUUCGUCUAUAAUUAGCUUGUGGCCAAUAGGCGCCGGGUAGGUUUUCUAAUGGGCUCAAUACCCUCGCAGGUAUUGGGUCAUCCUAGGCUCAUACCUAAAAGAGUGUUUUGAUUUUGUUCUAUCCUAGGUGUCUAGAGUGGGUUUGGACCAGGUUUUCAAGCGGACGACUUAGGUUUAGAAAUACAAAUAGCCAUCAGACGCCUAACAUGCCAAUAAACCGUCGUUUUCCCAACACGUGAUUUGAAAUAGAACAAUAGGGGCCGAGACAUCCAUGAAACCCCAAACAAUUUAUAUAUUUCGAAUGUGAAAAUAUGUCAUGAAAUGCAAUAAUUUAAAACUUGUGAAAAUUUAAACACAGAAAUAGUCAAACAGUUUAAAUAUUACAAACCCGAAUAGUUAUUCAAAGAAGUUAGUUCAAAUAUUUUGUUAGACCUAGAUAUAUUCCCAGCGGAGUCGUCAUUUCUGUUUUAUCCCUUUCCAGAUUUCAUUUGAGAGAAUGAUUUUAACCUUUUGAAACUAUUUUAAAAAUUCAAGAAAAUUUCAAAAUAAUUCUUUAAAGAAUUUACAAAGUCGCCACUUAAUUUUUACAGAAAAUAUCAAGAAAACUUAAAGAUAUUUCAAAGAUUCAAAAACUAAAAUAAAUCUUUGAAAUAAAAGCAACUGGGUAACGGUUUAAUUAAUGUCCUAAGAAGAUUUUUAAGGCACUUAGGAGCGUCCGUUUAAAACGGUUCACCAAAAAUCAUGCAAAAAAGGUUGCUUUUAUAAAAUUGUUUGUUCUCAUAUUUAAAAUUGACAUUUGUUUAUUCAAACGAGAGAUAUUCUACUUGAAUUUAGUACUUAAUCCGAUAUCAAUUUUGAGAAAAAUUACUAAAUGUUCCGCUUAAUUUGAGGAACAUUACGAAAUAUCUUGCAUGAGAAAAUAUUUUACUUAGUCGCAAGAAAGUUAGAAUUUGAGAAAACGAUCAAGGAAAAUGCUAAUGGAAAAUUUCUACUUAAUUCGCAGUUAUUUCUAGAGAAAUUAUGGAAUAUUUUCUUGAAUUUAAAAAGAAAUCUAUUUAAACUAGAUUGCACAUUCGAAUUUAAGGAGGAAAUAAGUUUGAUUUUUAUGGAAAAGAGGAUUAUAUAAUUAUAUAUUAUUAUUAUUAUUAUUGUCAUAAAAAUGGUCAUUUUGUUAUAAAUAACACCUUUAAAAAAUAUUAAGAACGUAUCAUGUUAAAAAAAUAUUUUAUCAAUAAUGAGAAGUUAGAAUUUAUGAGAAAGAAAUUAACUUCUUGAGUUUAAAAAAAAUUAUUUUAACCCAAGUAGGCUAUUAGUCAUGUGAACAAGACAAGUGCUAUUUUCAAAUGGAGGGCUUAACAAUUUUUUCUUUUAAAAACUAGUUUUUGGAAGAACAAUCGAAAGAGCCACUUUAAUCCGUUUAGACAAAAUAAAUUAGGAGAGAAAAUUGCGAAUCAAAUAUGGAAAUCGAAGGAAAACAAAAUAACAACAACAUGAGAAAACACUGAAUUAAUUAAUUAAAGUUAGUGCUAAUACAAUUAAAUAAAUAUAAGUUGCAAUUUAUAACAGAAUAAAAGAUUAAAGUUGAGGUUGGACCCCUUUUUGGCCCAUCAGUAGGCUGCCCAACCUUUGGGCUUGCAAUUUUAUGGACUUUUAAGUUCCAUUUCUCUGCACGUAUACCAGAUAUAUAUCACAACUCCAUUUCCUUGCGUUUUUGUGUAUAUAUUUUAAACACAUACAUACAACUUUUAGCCCCUCCCCCACCCCACCCCCCCACAUAAUCAGCUUCAUUUUCCAUUUUUCAACCGUAUAUCCUCAGCAUAUUGUUGUAUAUCUAUGUAUGCAACUUUGUUUCUCGACGGUUUUCGUCUAUCUUUUGAAUUUAGAGAAGGUUCGGACUCAACGGUAGACUGGGCCUCCACGACCCAUUGAAGAAAUGCAGGGAUGCGGGUCCGACUAGACUCCAACGAGGAUGCUCAUCAAAAAGAAGAAGUAAACGAUUAACUCAAUUCGAAAGACUCUUGCAUACAAUUUUUGUAAGAAAAAAAAAAGCUCUCAUUAACCAAUGUUAUUCAAAAGGGAAGAAAUUAAAUCUUUGAACAACUGCAGGCGAUUAGAAUAACAAAAAAUGAAAUGCUUCAAUUUUGAGAUUGUAUUGAAAACAAGAACAACCUAAAUUACUUUAUUCCAAGGAAAUAAAAAAUAUAUCCUAACUAAUUAAUCGACUUAGACAAGACUAAGCUAACAUUUACAAUUAUGCAACUACUCAUUAUCUCACUAAACUAACCAAUUUACCUAAACUAAUCAACUAUUUACUUUAUAAUCUCAACACAGUUGAAUAAAAUUUUGUUCAAAAAAUAGCUUGUUCAUCAAAUUUCAACAAUCUAAACAUGAGCAGAAAAAGGCACCAUUAUACAGAUAAAAUCUCCUUUUUAUUAAAUCACCAUAAACCCUCAAUAUAGAUGACUAAAUCAUGAGAAAGGAGAUAGGUACUUGGAGAGAUUCAUUAUCUCUACUUGAACUUAAAUAUUAUCAUUCAAAUGUGACCAUAGAGAAAGUAAUAAACCAAUAUCAUUCAAAACAGAUUUCAGACUAUCACAAUGGCAUACAAAGCAGAUUCACUUUUUCCGGUGAUCAAUUCUAAGCCAACACAUAACAUGACUUCGACUUAGCAUAUUUUUCAUCGAAAAAUCAAAACCUUUUUUUUAUUAGACGAGACCAGCCCACUCUCACAAUUAUUGCAAAAUUCCAGACUUACUAUAUUCAAGAGUAAAUAAGAAAAAAAUGCAAGAAAGAUGAAGUGCUUACAAAAUACUAAAGAGAAUUCAUACAAAAUCAAAUAAGUCCGAAUUCAACAUGAGACGAAACUCUAGUUACAGGAAACAAACUGGGUGAAAAGUUCACCUUUUUGGAGCAGCGAACGAGUCUUCAAAACCUUAUCGGAACAACUUCCACCACAAUUUCAGUGCUUUAAUGAAAUUCCAACGAUUUAGGAUGAAUUUUGAGAGUGCACUAAAAAUUUCUCGGUUACGUAGGGUUAGAGGUGAGCACCUCCAGAACCCUCAAGUUUUUCCUCAAGAAAUCCUCAUUCCUUUUCAUGGUGAAGAAAGGGCUAUUUAUAAAUGAAAUCUGGAUUUUCAAAUCCGGAAUUAAAGUGAAAUUUUUUUCAAAAAAAAUGUGUGGAUGGAGUUUGAAUUCAAAUUCAACAAAGAAUCUCUUUCAUAUCUUGAAUUAAUGAAGAAUUUCAGAACAAUUUUCGUUGUAUCACGGUUUGGGGACUAUUUCUCUGCCAUUGUUGGUUUCAACGGGUUGAAGAGCUAAGAAAUGGUGACGUGGCUGAGUUUUGGGAAUUGACGUUGUUUGUUGUUGAGGUUGUUAAACACCGUUUGUUGGAAUGGGUUUUUCCAUGGAAGUUGCUCGCAAUUGUUGUGGUUGCUGGUGGUUUUUUGUACUCUGUUAACUGUUGUUGUUGUUGUGUUGGAUAUUGACAAUAGGGGAAAAGAGGAUAAAGGAUGGGACAUGGGCCGGGUCAGCUGAUUUGAGAAUUGGGCCUGAUUGUUGUAUUGGGUUGGAGGCUGAUGGAUGGUUGUUGGGCUAAGUUGCUGAUGUAGUGU
rnacentral:lncRNA from 1 species